AGCUGCCAAUGAAGAACAGAAUCCACAACAGCCUGAGAACCAGACCUCUGAAGAGCUGAACUACGCAGCUGUGGCUUUCCGUCCAAAAACAAGAAAAACAAGAGAAGUGGAGCCCAAUGUUGUGUAUGCUUCUACUAGAUAGACUCAGGAAG